ACACAUGCAAGUCGAGCGGUAGCACAGAGAGCUUGCUCUCGGGUGACGAGCGGCGGACGGGUGAGUAAUGUCUGGGAAACUGCCUGAUGGAGGGGGAUAACUACUGGAAACGGUAGCUAAUACCGCAUAAUGUCGCAAGACCAAAGUGGGGGACCUUCGGGCCUCAUGCCAUCAGAUGUGCCCAGAUGGGAUUAGCUAGUAGGUGGGGUAACGGCUCACCUAGGCGACGAUCCCUAGCUGGUCUGAGAGGAUGACCAGCCACACUGGAACUGAGACACGGUCCAGACUCCUACGGGAGGCAGCAGUGGGGAAUAUUGCACAAUGGGCGCAAGCCUGAUGCAGCCAUGCCGCGUGUGUGAAGAAGGCCUUCGGGUUGUAAAGCACUUUCAGCGGGGAGGAAGGCGAUAAGGUUAAUAACCUUGUCGAUUGACGUUACCCGCAGAAGAAGCACCGGCUAACUCCGUGCCAGCAGCCGCGGUAAUACGGAGGGUGCAAGCGUUAAUCGGAAUUACUGGGCGUAAAGCGCACGCAGGCGGUCUGUCAAGUCGGAUGUGAAAUCCCCGGGCUCAACCUGGGAACUGCAUUCGAAACUGGCAGGCUAGAGUCUUGUAGAGGGGGGUAGAAUUCCAGGUGUAGCGGUGAAAUGCGUAGAGAUCUGGAGGAAUACCGGUGGCGAAGGCGGCCCCCUGGACAAAGACUGACGCUCAGGUGCGAAAGCGUGGGGAGCAAACAGGAUUAGAUACCCUGGUAGUCCACGCCGUAAACGAUGUCGAUUUGGAGGUUGUGCCCUUGAGGCGUGGCUUCCGGAGCUAACGCGUUAAAUCGACCGCCUGGGGAGUACGGCCGCAAGGUUAAAACUCAAAUGAAUUGACGGGGGCCCGCACAAGCGGUGGAGCAUGUGGUUUAAUUCGAUGCAACGCGAAGAACCUUACCUGGUCUUGACAUCCACAGAACUUUCCAGAGAUGGAUUGGUGCCUUCGGGAACUGUGAGACAGGUGCUGCAUGGCUGUCGUCAGCUCGUGUUGUGAAAUGUUGGGUUAAGUCCCGCAACGAGCGCAACCCUUAUCCUUUGUUGCCAGCGGUUCGGCCGGGAACUCAAAGGAGACUGCCAGUGAUAAACUGGAGGAAGGUGGGGAUGACGUCAAGUCAUCAUGGCCCUUACGACCAGGGCUACACACGUGCUACAAUGGCAUAUACAAAGAGAAGCGACCUCGCGAGAGCAAGCGGACCUCAUAAAGUAUGUCGUAGUCCGGAUUGGAGUCUGCAACUCGACUCCAUGAAGUCGGAAUCGCUAGUAAUCGUAGAUCAGAAUGCUACGGUGAAUACGUUCCCGGGCCUUGUACACACCGCCCGUCACACCAUGGGAGUGGGUUGCAAAAGAAGUAGGUAGCUUAACCCUUCGGGAGGGCGCUUACCACUU
rnacentral:rRNA from 1 species